ensembl:lncRNA
AGCAGUUCUGAUAGCUUCCCCUUGGCCUUUCCUACCAUAAUAGCUCUCACUAGGUCAGAUGAGAAGAUACGUCAAUUGGUAGCUGUCCAGUUUUCCCAGUUGCACUUAUUGAAGAGAAUGUCUUUUCUCCAUGGUGUAUUCUUAUCUCCUUUGUCAAAGCUUAGAAAUUGCCAAAAACCCCAAAGUACCUCAUGCUGAUGCUGAAUCACUGUUAGAUGUUCUUGGAGGAUGAUCCUGAGUUCGUGAAUGUGCCUAUCAUAAGAGUAGCUGGACCACCACUGCAGCAGACCUUAAAUGAAGUGGCCUUCUCUACACCUGUCCAUCAUCACCGUGGAAAGAGGUAAGACUGUGUGCAAGAGGUGGAGGGAGGGAGAACGAAAGGGAAAGUGGGAGAGAGACAGAGCGAGAAUUUUGC